rnacentral:tRNA from 1 species
UGUGUCGUGGUGUGGUUGGUUAUCACGUCAUUCUAACACAUUAAAGGUCUCCGGUUCGAGUCCGGGCGACACCA